rnacentral:tRNA from 1 species
UCCCUAGUGGUCCAGUGGCUAAGACUCUCUGCUCUCAAUGCAGGGGGCCUGGGUUUGAUCCUUGCUCAGGGAACUA